rnacentral:lncRNA from 1 species
UCUCUAUUCCUAUUCAGUCUUCUUUUCAAUUUAUUUAGUGUUGAGUAUGGAGUGGAACUUGAUUCAGGACACUGUGAUGUGGGAAGUUCCAAAGGGAGGAAAAAUAUCUUUGAGGACAAUUUUCUGAAGGGGAUAUUAGGGAUGAGGAACCUUCCCUGACUAUACCCAAGGUCAAACACUGGGCAUGAUAGGAGGACAUAAAUCUAAUUCCUGCUUCUGUGAAGGCUGAAGUUGGAGGAUCACUUGAGUUCAGGAGUUCUGAGUGUCACAGGGUUAAGCCAAUUGGACACUCACAGUAAGCCUGGAACCAAUAUGGUUGACUGCAGCUUGGCUGAAGAUGAAGACUGUGCAUCUGUCUGGGGGGCUAGCAGCUUUGCAGGCAGAAUGGGCAUCCAGAAGGACAUUCACUCAAUGAACAGAGCCAAGCCAUGAAUUGGAGCUUGAUGAAGGAAGAGACCCUGCUAUCCUCAUUUCAGAGGUGCUGAGGAGAAAGUUUGUUCUGAAGGAAGAAGAU